ACCUUCUGGGGUCCUGUUUUCCCCUCCAUCUAACAGCUCCCUUUCCAGGUCCACUGUAUUCCACUCCCUCACCAUGCCUUACAUUUCACCACCACUUUACAUCCCCUUUCUAAUUGCCACCAUGUGCAACUUUAAUACUUCACCUUCACCCUUGAAGGCUCUGGCCAUCCCCUUACGCCCUGCUUCCUGAACUCCUCUGACAUUCCCACCAUCCCCCUUCCACCCCCAACCCAGCCCUGUACCACCUUCCCAUACACCCCCACCCUCUUACACCAGUAAAAACUUUAUGAAUACGUAGGAAGAGAGGGAAACAGUAAGUCAGAUUUUGGGCCAUGCUACCUCAGCUGUCUCUCUUAAAAAUCAAGAUUUGCCUUUUCUGCCCAUCUUCUCUGGGUCUCUCCUGUGGAUUCCAAAUCCUUCUAGAGACUGUCGGGUUUGGACGAUGUACAUGGCAGAGGGGCAUUGCUGGCAAAUGAUGGCAUAUAUCACAUUGAUAGAUGUGCUGGUGAAUGAGCCCCCGAU